UAGGGGAUAUUGCAAAAUGGGCGAAAGCCCGAUGCAGCAACGCCGCGUGGGCGAUGAAGGCCUUCGGGUCGUAAAGCCCUUUUUGAGGGGAUGAGGAAGGACAGUACCCUCAGAAUAAGCCUCGGCUAACUACGUGCCAGCAGCCGCGGUAAAACGUAGGAGGCGAGCGUUCUCCGGCUUUACUGGGCGUAAAGCGCGUGCAGGCGGAUUGGAGAGUUGGAUGUGAAAGCUCCCGGCUUAACUGGGAGAGGUCGUUCAAUACUUCCAGUCUUGAGUGCAGUAGAGGGAAGUGGAAUUCCGGGUGUAGUGGUGAAAUGCGUAGAUAUCCGGAGGAACACCCGUGGCGAAAGCGGCUUCCUGGACUGUAACUGACGCUCAGACGCGAAAGCUAGGGUA
rnacentral:rRNA from 1 species